UACGGAGGGUGCGAGCGUUGUCCGGAAUCACUGGGCGUAAAGGGCGCGUAGGCGGCGCGACAAGUCAAUGGUGAAAGCCCGAGGCUCAACUUCGGGUCGGCCACUGAUACUGUUGGGCUUGAGCACUGUAGAGGCAGGUGGAAUUCCGGGUGUAGCGGUGGAAUGCGUAGAGAUCCGGAAGAACACCGGUGGCGAAGGCGGCCUGCUGGGCAGUAGCCGACGCUGAGGCGCGACAGCGUGGGGAGCAAACAGG
rnacentral:rRNA from 1 species